rnacentral:rRNA from 1 species
GAUGAACGCUAGCGAUAGGCUUAACACAUGCAAGUCGAGGGGCAGCACAAGGUAGCUUGCUCUCUGGGUGGCGACCGGCGCACGGGUGCGUAACGCGUAUGCAACUUGCCCUAUACAGGAGGAUAACCCGUCGAAAGACGGACUAAUACUGCGUAUGCUCACAACUUGGCAUCAAGUGGUGAGGAAAGAAAUUCGGUAUAGGAUAGGCAUGCGUCCCAUUAGCUUGUUGGUGAGGUAACGGCUCACCAAGGCAACGAUGGGUAGGGGAACUGAGAGGUUUAUCCCCCACACUGGUACUGAGACACGGACCAGACUCCUACGGGAGGAAGCAGUGAGGAAUAUUGGUCAAUGGGCGCGAGCCUGAACCAGCCAAGUCGCGUGAAGGAUGACUGUCUUAUGGAUUGUAAACUUCUUUUAUACGGGAAUAACAAGAGUCACGUGUGACUCCCUGCAUGUACCGUAUGAAUAAGCAUCGGCUAACUCCGUG